AAUACCUGGGCGAUUUGGGCUGUGGCCCAGGGCAGCACAUUUUUAGGGGCAUAAAAUAAGUCUCGUUACGUAUAUAUGGCCCAAACAUGUCUUUGUUAUCUGAUAGAAUAAUACUUGAGGAGGAGCAGGGCAAUGAAAACUUAGCGCCAAACAACCACUAAUCGUCUUCAAUUUCCCAUAGAAAAUCGAAACGUCUUUCGACACUUGGAAACAUGUUGUCGAUUGGAUGCCUAGAAGUUGCGUCUCCUAUAAAUAAAAGAAAGUGCAAUGGUAUGGCUGGAUCAAUCUCGAAAGUACAUUGAUGUGGCUAGCUUAUUUUCAAAAGCUGAAUGUUGCUAUUUUCAUUAUUAAUUUAAUAAUUUUUGGUGAUGUAACUUGUAGUAGUUAUUACUUUAAUUUUACCCAUAUUAUUUUCCAGCCACAAUUGGCUUUUUUGUUAUUUAAUUUAGCUUUGUACUUUAAAAAAAUGUUCUCCUAAAAGCUGUCUUAUUUUUAUUA